AGGUUUAGUUUAUUUUGUCAAAAUUCUGAAUUAUAGAAAUGGUUGUGGGCGCUUUUCCAAUAGCAAAACUCGGCAUCUUGUGUGUGAAACAUAUCAGUAAGCCGGUUAGCAACGUGAUCAAGCGCUUUGCUAAUAAGAGUAAUGCCUUUAGAAUAUAUGUAGUUGCACCGCCGGCCACUUUGUACAACACGAUUGAUGUUCGCUCCAAGAUGUGGAUGCUGGGCAUAGGACAGCCGAAGAGGGUUCCGCCCCUAACCCGAGCCAUGUCCAUUAAAAUGGGCAGUGAUAUACUGGGCGAGCUAUUCAUAUUUAUAAUUGGUGUUUCCUUCAUAUUGAACGAGUUUGCGAGGCAAGCGCGAAACGACGCGCAGAAACAUGAAAGGCACAAGAAGAAAAGGGAGGAGCUGAAUAACAAAAUUGUCGAAUUGAACGAGCGAAUUGCUCGUCAAGACAGAGAAAUUGUGCAUCUCAAAGGCAAAAUCAAAGAAAUAAGAUAUGAUCGAUAGCGUCGUUUGACUUGAUCUGAGUGGGCUAGGAAAUGCUAGUCUUUCCAUUUUUUUAUUCGUUCAAAAGUAUGUUCAAAAUUUGCAGUUUUCAAGAUGGUAAUUGGUACGUUUCCCAUUGGCAAGGUCUUCAUUUUUACCAUGAAGCAAAUUAGCAAGCCCGUAAGCAAAUUAUUAAAGAGCUAUGCCCGACACCAUCCGUUCUUCAGACGGAUCGUUUGCAUUCCGCCGGGACAGGUUUAUAAUAAUUUGGAGGUUCGGUUGAAAUUACACCUUCUGAAACUCAAACAACCGAAGCGAGUGCCGCCUCUAACACCCGCCAUGGCAACUAGAAUCGGAGCAGAUAUACUGGGCGAAGUUAUUGUGAUGAGCAUUGGAGUGUUCCUUCUAUACUAUGAGGUUACACGUAAUCGGCUGAAGAG
rnacentral:misc_RNA from 1 species